GGAUUAGAUACCCUGGUAGUCCACGCCGUAAACGAUGUCUACUAGCAGCUCGGCUCUUAAGAGCAGUUUUGCGCAGCUAACGCGUUAAGUAGACCGCCUGGGGAGUACGGCCGCAAGGUUAAAACUCAAAUGAAUUGACGGGGGCCCGCACAAGCGGUGGAGCAUGUGGUUUAAUUCGAUGCAACGCGAAGAACCUUACCAUCCCUUGACAUCCAGAGAACUUGCCAGAGAUGGCUUGGUGCCUUCGGGAACUCUGAGACAGGUGCUGCAUGGCUGUCGUCAGCUCGUGCCG
rnacentral:rRNA from 1 species